UACGUAGGGACCAAGCGUUGUUCGGAUUUACUGGGCGUAAAGGGCGCGUAGGCGGCGUGACAAGUCACUUGUCAAAUCCCAGGGCUCAACCCUGGACAGGCGGUGGAAACUGCCAAGCUGGAGUACGGUAGGGGCAGAGGGAAUUUCCGUUGGAGCGGUGAAAUGCGUAGAGAUCGGAAAGAACACCAACGGCGAAAGCACUCUGCUGGGCCGACACUGACACUGAGAGACGAAAGCUAGGGGAGCGAACAGG
rnacentral:rRNA from 1 species